GGCAUGAGCCACCGCCUGCGGCGAACUCUAAUUUCUCAAAGAGUCUCCUCCUGGCCUAGCUACCCCCUCCCCAAGCCCUGGCUCAAUGAUGUGAGUCUUUCCUCACCUGGGUGUCCUCGUCCCUGAGCCCCCUCCCGCUGGCUGAGUACCUCCCUGCCCCCCUUCUCCUCCUUUCCUCCAGCCCGGCCUCUGUCGCUGAAAUACUCAUAGUCUCUCCUCGCCUCCGCUCUGCAGCCUCCAGGGGGCCCCGCUGCUCAUCUCUGGAGCAGGACUGUGCUCAUCAAUCAAGCCUGGUGGCAGAGGGUGGGGACUUCCGAUACUCCCUAUCCAUCUUACAGAACUCUCCUUUUCGCUCAGCAGGGACCAGACGUUGGCUCCCUACAGGCUUUACUCAGAGCACUUCUUUUUUUCUAGAGGUAACUGGGCUCGAGGCAAGAGCAUGAAUUUUCAAGCUCCAGACAAGGGCUCAUUCUGCACUGUCCUGAGCCGCUUUGUGACCUGGGGCCUGCCGUAUCCCUCUGUGAGCCUAUUCUUGAAGCUGAGAGUCAUAACAUUCCAGGGCUGCUGGGAGAAUUUGCUGAGGUCAUAGAUGAGGAAAUGGGUUGUUGAGUGACCGGAUCAGGCCAGGACUCAGCUCUGCCCUCUCUCUGCCCUAUGAAAUGCCCUCCAGCCUCUGCUUCCUGCCCUACUAAUCAGCAGCAGUCACCUCUCUGCAGAGGAGGAGAGGUGAGAGUGGACGAGGUAGAGCCCUGGAUCCAGGAUGAACUGCCAGGUGCAGCCCAGGGAUGGAAGUCAUGUCUGCUUCAUUAACUUCACAUGCUGGAAUCCAACAUUGGACCGCUAUGUCCAUGCACAGAAUACAGGAGUGGGCAGAUGAGCACCUAACCCACGUGAUUCCUGCCCCACCCAAUGAGCAGAACAUAUCAGUGAGGGGGAGGACAGUGAAACCUGAAGUGGGCAAGACAAACACAAUGAACCUUGCUGCAAAAGCUAAAACGAUAGAUUCCAGAGACAUUUUGGAAUGAUGGAAUUGAAAGAAACACAGCUGGUCACUGGGUCGAGGAUAAAAAAAGCACCGAAUAGAGGCCAUCCCGAAGAACCAGGCACCGGAAAAUGCUCUCUCAAUUUUAUUUCAUGGGACUAUGUGAUUCUUAUGCAACUGUGCCAAUGUGAGGCAUCUCAAUGGCAUUAAAGUCUUGUUAAAACAGUAAACCUGUUUCUUUUCAAGAGAACAAUGGUAUUCUAAAAAGCCUUGCAAAAUUAAUCAAGUUAUUACCCUAUAAAGAGUCAAGCACGUAACUAUGUUUAAAAGGGUCCACAGGUAGUACUAUUUACAAAGAGAGAACACGUAUGCAGCGAAAUCCUCCACAGAACACCUUCCAUUAAUUAGGCAGUGGAAACAGCAGCCUCCCCAAAUCGAGUAGGAACAAACAGGAAAGAAAAGCAUAUACUUCUUGUGUGAGAGAGAGAGGAAAAAGAUACACACAAACACACAAACAAAGAAAUUAAAGACAAUGCACUCCACUCUCGAUAGAAUCAGUUUCGACAGAAAUAAUGAGAGAUAUUACGUGGGCUGCCAUGAUUUCUUCACGUUGCUCUAAAAGUGGAAGGCGGCUUUCCUGGUUGGCACCAAAGAAACAGAACACUGAGGACUUGGAGCCCAAAGCGAACCACCGUGACCUGCCUUAGGAGGGGAGUGCAGCCUGGUUUGCCAUAUAAUGAUGAGAAAAGCAAAUCAGCUGGGAGGAAAGAAAAUUAUUCUUAUCUGGGAAAGAAGGAAGAGAAACAGGAAAACCCACCUCCUGGGUUCAAAUGAUUCUCCUGCCUCAACCUCCCAAGUAGCUAGGACUACAGGUGCCCCCCACCACACCAGGCUAUAAUUUUGUUAUAUUUUAGUAGAGAUGGGGGUUUCACCAAGUUGGCCAGGCUGGUCUCGAACUCCUGACCUCAGGUGAUCUCAGCCUCCCAAAGGGCUGGGAUUACAGGCAUGAGCCACCGUGCCCUAAGAAAAAGUAACAUUCUCUAUAGAGAAAAUCUGCAAAACACAGAAAAGCAUAACAAAGAAAAAAGCCAAUCUCAUACCAACCAAAAAUAAUCCCUGCUAAGACUUAGAAAAAGGCCUGGAAGAAUCCAACGUCCUCAUGUUCACCAGCCCUUGUGUGAUGUGCAGGUAUUUGCAUCUAUUAUGCUAUACGUCCAUAUAUUCAUCUUGUCUUUGUAUUUUUGAAUAUUAUUUUUAAGAGGUCGAGUCUCGCUC
rnacentral:lncRNA from 1 species